AUGCUCGACGAUGAAGAUCUUCUUCAGUACAUCAUCACUGGUCUGGGUCCAGACUUCAGUGAGGUGGUGUCCGCCGUGUGUGCCAGGGUGGAACCAAUCUCAUUGGGCGAGUUGUAUUCCCAACUCCUCAAUUUUGAGA